ACUCCUACGGGAGGGCAGCAGUGGGAAUAUUGGACAAAUGGGGGAAACCCUGAUCCAGCCAUGCCGCGUGUGUGAAGAAGGCCUUCGGGUUGUAAAGCACUUUUCAGUGGGAGGAAAGGUUGAUGGUUAAUACCCAUCAGCUGUGACGUUUACCCACAGAAGAAGCACCGGCUAACUCCGUGCCAGCAGCCGCCGGUAAUACGGAGGGUGCGAGCGUUAAUCGGAAUUACUGGGCGUAAAGCGCAU
rnacentral:rRNA from 1 species